GAGGGUAUAGCUCAGUGGUAGAGAGCAUGCUUAGCAUGCGUGAAGUGUCCUGGGUUCAAUCCCCAGGACCUCUA
rnacentral:tRNA from 1 species